rnacentral:rRNA from 1 species
GCAAGUCGUGGGGCAGCAUGACUGUAGCAAUACAGUUGAUGGCGACCGGCAAACGGGUGCGGAACACGUACACAACCUUCCUUUUAGUGGAGAAUAGCCCAGGGAAACUUGGAUUAAUACUCCGUAACAUAUAAAAGUGGCAUCACUUUUAUAUUAUAGCAGCAAUGCGCUAGAAGAUGGGUGUGCGGCUGAUUAGAUAGUUGGCGGGGUAACGGCCCACCAAGUCGACGAUCAGUAACUGGUGUGAGAGCACGACCAGUCACACGGGCACUGAGACACGGGCCCGACUCCUACGGGAGGCAGCAGUAAGGAAUAUUGGUCAAUGGACGCAAGUCUGAACCAGCCAUGCCGCGUGGAGGAUGAAGGUCCUCUGGAUUGUAGACUUCUUUUAUUUGGGAAGAAACCCAUCUUUUCUAAGAUGGCUGACGGUACCAGAUGAAUAAGCACCGGCUAACUCCGUGCCAGCAGCCGCGGUAAUACGGAGGGUGCAAGCGUUAUCCGGAUUCACUGGGUUUAAAGGGUGCGUAGGUGGGCAAGUAAGUCAGUGGUGAAAUCUCCGGGCUUAACCCGGAAACUGCCAUUGAUACUAUUUGUCUUGAAUACUGUGGAGGUCAGCGGAAUAUGUCAUGUAGCGGUGAAAUGCUUAGAUAUGACAUAGAACACCAAUUGCGAAGGCAGCUGGCUACACAAAUAUUGACACUGAGGCACGAAAGCGUGGGGAUCAAACAGGAUUAGAUACCCUGGUAGUCCACGCCCUAAACUAUGGAUACUCGACAUUUGCGAU